AUGGAGAACAGUGCUGGAACUAACACAGGACGAUCAGAACUUUGUCUCCAUUACUUUGAAGUUACUGUUCUUUGGAUUUUUGGUGACUUCCAAACAACCCAGUUGCAGGUGAAUCUCAAGAAGCACAAGUUCAGCAAAGAAGCCUCAUUGCCAGCGCUUGAACAGGAAAGUUAGACCCAUCCUAAUACCGCUGCCUACACAGACCAUCCGGGGAAGCAACUCUUAUGCAUAAGGGACCGACAAAUACUAACGCGAGAGCGAGCAGACCGACCGGACGAGGCGUCCCGAAGAAGAGCCACAGGCGAGGCCCACAGCCCAGCGCCCUUAGUCAUCAUCUCGGGCAGAAUCCGUGGAGAGACACAGCAAAGAAAAUUCCUGUCACCAAAGUGGAAAGGGAGGGACCAGAAUGGGAAAGUGACCCGUGACUCCAAAGUAAAAGGUCCACGGCCAAAGCGACUCUAACUGUCCCUUGGGAAAAAACUUGCACUCUCCCCUGAGCUAUCCUGGCAUCACGCUAUCGUUCUGAUUCUCUGUAAUACCAAAGCUGGGGUUAGCGUGGGGAUCCACCGUAUAACUCUGUAUUGUUGCCACCCAGGACAACUGACCGCUUUGGGGUGAACUCCCUCAGUUAA